AUAAAAGCUGUCUUGUUCUGUAAAUAAUCUUCCAAAACCUAUCAUAAAGAACAGGGAUUUCAUGGAGUCUUGAGCUCCUAUAUCUGAUGUCUCUUGCUUUGUUAUCAGAAUCAGGACUUGUGGCAUUGUCACUUGGGGAUNNNNNNNNNNNNAUGAUGGUGUACAUGGUUCACUCUCCCGGAGCUGAUUUAAAAUUUCCAUGGCAUAUUCAAGGGCAUUGAGCUGCGGAGGGACAGUAAAGCCAUUAGAGAGCAAGAAACUUUGAAGGGAGGAAAGCGUUCCAUGGUGAAUGACAGUUCCUUUGGAUAACAGAAGUAU
rnacentral:misc_RNA from 1 species